rfam:Ciona savignyi cont_31855, whole genome shotgun sequence.
GCCCGGUUAGCUCGGCCGGUAGAGCGUUGGACUUUUAAUCCAAAGGCCAAGGUUUCAAGUCCCUUAUCGGGCU